ACCAUGAAGAGUUUGAUCCUGGCUCAGGAUUAACGCUAGCGACAGGCCUAACACAUACAAUUCGAGGGGUAACAGGGAGCUUGCUCCGCUGACGACCGGCGCACGGGUGAGUAACGCGUAUGCAACCUGCCCGCGGGAUCGGGAUAGCCCCCCGAAAGGGGGAUUAACACCGGAUGCGGCUGUUUGGGGGCAUCCCCGGAUAGCCAAAUGCGAAGCUCGCGGAUGGGCAUGCGUCCGAUUAGCUAGUUGGGGGGGUAACGGCCCACCAAGGCGACGAUCGGUAGGGGUCCUGAGAGGGAGGUCCCCCACACUGGUACUGAGAGACGGACCAGACUCCUACGUGAGGCAGCAGUGAGGAAU
rnacentral:rRNA from 1 species